rnacentral:tRNA from 1 species
GCCGAGGUGGUGAAAUUGGCAGACACGCAUGGUUUAGGACCAUGUGCCUUCGGGCAUGGAGGUUCAAGUCCUCUCCUCGGCA